rnacentral:rRNA from 1 species
UAAUACCUCAUAGUAUAUUAACUUCGCAUGAAGUCACUAUUAAAGUCACAACGGCAAAAGAUGAGCAUGCGUCCCAUUAGCUAGUUGGUAAGGUAACGGCUUACCAAGGCUACGAUGGGUAGGGGUCCUGAGAGGGAGAUCCCCCACACUGGUACUGAGACACGGACCAGACUCCUACGGGAGGCAGCAGUGAGGAAUAUUGGACAAUGGGCGCAAGCCUGAUCCAGCCAUGCCGCGUGCAGGAUGACGGUCCUAUGGAUUGUAAACUGCUUUUGCACAGGAAGAAACAACGCUACGUGUAGCGUCUUGACGGUACUGUGAGAAUAAGGAUCGGCUAACUCCGUGCCAGCAGCCGCGGUAAUACGGAGGAUCCAAGCGUUAUCCGGAAUCAUUGGGUUUAAAGGGUCCGUAGGCGGUUUAGUAAGUCAGUGGUGAAAUCCCAUCGCUCAACGGUGGAACGGCCAUUGAUACUGCUAGACUUGAAUUAUUAGGAAGUAACUAGAAUAUGUAGUGUAGCGGUGAAAUGCUUAGAGAUUACAUGGAAUACCAAUUGCGAAGGCAGGUUACUACUAAUUGAUUGACGCUGAUGGACGAAAGCGUGGGUAGCGAACAGGAUUAGAUACCCUGGUAGUCCACGCCGUAAACGAUGGAUACUAGCUGUUGGGCGCAAGUUCAGUGGCUAAGCGAAAGUGAUAAGUAUCCCACCUGGGGAGUACGUUCGCAAGAAWGAAACUCAAAGGAAUUGACGGGGGCCCGCACAAGCGGUGGAGCAUGUGGUUUAAUUCGAUGAUACGCGAGGAAC